rnacentral:snRNA from 1 species
UAGUGUGAGGGCGACGUGGCUGUGACAUGUCACCCCGUUGGUCGCCAGCGUUGGUUCAGCUGAUCUGGCUGGUGAGGUGGGUGUCCCCUUCCUCCUUCACCAAUCCAUUGCAUCGGUCCCUAAACUGUGCGCUCCAGCAGAGGAGGACCCUUUCCUCCCUCAAGGCGUAGGAGUAGCCAUGCCGCCUGGCUAGGCCCGCCAAAGAAAGCUCUCAAGAUGUGUCACGUACACGGACCAAUUCACACAAACAAUGUAGACACUAUGU